rnacentral:rRNA from 1 species
GACGAACCGUGCGAACGUUAUUCGGAAUCACUGGGCUUAAAGCGCGUGUAGGCGGGAGGGCACGUCCGACGUUGAAAGCCCCCGGCUCAACCGGGGAACGGGCGCGGAUACGCCCUUCCUGGAGGGACGUAGGGGGACCUGGAACUUCCGGUGGAGCGGUGAAAUGCGUUGAGAUCGGAAGGAACGCACGUGGCGAAAGCGAGGUCCUGGACGUUUUCUGACGCUGAGACGCGAAAGCCAGGGGAGCGAACGGG